UGGCCUCAAACUGCUGGCCUCAAACAAUCCUCUGGCCUCGGCCCCUCAAAUUGCUGGGAUUAUAAUCCUGAGCCACUCCACCAGGCCUGUUCAGAAUUCUAAUAUACAACGAAUUCUUAAUGAUAACCAAGAAAUAAAGACUUGGAGCUCAAACUGUGCCCCUGAGGCCUGCAAUUCCUGAGAACCGUGCCUCCUCCUCCCAUUCUUCCAUUUGGAAUUGCGUUAAGCACAGAGACCCGAGGAGCCUGGACACAGCGCAGGAUGAGGGUGUAAGAAGCCAAACCCCGCCUCCAAACACAGGGACUCCUCACCAGCUGGUAGGGCUUCAGCGCGCACAGAGGAAGCGAAAGGACGGGCAAGGUGCACAGAUGAGGUGGGAGGACCGGAGCCAGGACGUCUGAACCUGGUGAGGAGCUGCAGGGGUGGGCCAGGGGUGAGGAGGAGGAACAGGUGCCGGGGAACUCCUGGGACCCCAGGCUGGCGGCCACUGCCUCCUCUGUCCCUUGGGCACCCUCCCUUUGCCCUGCCCUGGAGAACGUAACUCUUAGCAGGCUCUUGCAGCCUGGACUUUCCAUGGCACUGCUGCCUCUGACUCCAAUCGCUACCACUUUCCCCCUAAAGCUUCCACCUCUGAAGAUUUGCCUCAUAUCAUCUCCUCUGGGUAAUCUCUUCUCAGCUUCCCCUUACCCCUAAGUCCCCACCCCUCCAUCCCCAAACAGGGAGCAUUGUCUCCGGUGGCUCCACUCUACUAGACCAGCAGGGAGACGAGGAAGCUUCCUUCUAUGGACCACCCGCUGGGCAUAACCUCCUCCCCUAAGGGUGGGGUGUGCAUGAGUGCCCCAAGUGCCUUCGCCCAGGCAGGUGCGAGGGCGUGUGAAACCGGAGGCGAGAGCCUGGCAGGCUGCACACCUGGGGGCUGAAAGCAGAAAGGGAGGGAUGCCCAGGCAGUCCUUAAAGGGACCUGGGGAAGCUUCAUCUUCAACCGCGGACAAGCGUCAUUCACCUGAAAUGCCAGGACCAGGAAGUCCUGCCGGCCGCAGGCACAGCCUGUCCAACGUGAUUGGACAUCACUUCCUGCCGUUCAUGUCCUCUUGGAAGGUCAGGUGGCCUCUGCAACACGACUUCUGCAUUCUGGCAGGCAAAUGAAUGACUGCACCUGACCCGUGACUCAUGACUCAACCAGUCCUGUGGACCCCGCCUGGAGGUGGACUCAGUGCACCAGGACCAUUUUCCACACCCCUCUGAUUUCAUCCUCAACCAAUCAGCAGCACGCUUUCCUUAGCCUGCUGUUCACCAAAUUCGCCAUAAAACCCCUACCUAGCCUCUGAGUUCUCAGAGAGGCUGAUUUGAGUAAUAAAGUAAUAAACUCCU